UACAGAGGUCUCAAGCGUUGUUCGGAUUCAUUGGGCGUAAAGGGUGCGUAGGUGGCGCUGUAAGUCGGGUGUGAAAUUUCGGAGCUUAACUCCGAAACUGCAUUCGAUACUGCGGUGCUUGAGGACUGGAGAGGAGACUGGAAUUCAUGGUGUAGCAGUGAAAUGCGCAGAUAUCAGGAGGAACACCGGUGGCGAAGGCGGGUCUCUGGGCAAUAACUGACGCUGAGGAGCGAAAGCGUGGGGAGCGAACAGG
rnacentral:rRNA from 1 species